rnacentral:lncRNA from 1 species
UUGGGCUUUCCUUGUACAUACUGUGAUGUUGUCGCGGGAUACUCGCUGGAGCGAGUUAUGUUGUAGACAUUUUGUAUGUAUUGGAAUCCCUCGAGGUUUUAUCUAUUACUUUUCAGUUUAGCAGCUCUUACCUUAUGGUUGUAGCUUAUUUUUGAUUUACAGGUACAUCUAUCGUUUUGUAUACAAGAAAAUUUUCUUUGUGUAUGGCGGGUCUGUUGGCGUGCCAGAAAAAAUGUGGUAAUCUGGGGCGUGACAUGCCGAUUGGCAAAU